UGAUUCAUAUCCACACUACAAUGAGAGCAAUAGGAGAACAGAACGUGAGUGAGGGAGAUAGAGAGAAAGGAGCAGGAUAGAAAGAAAGAAAUAAACAGAAAGGAAAGGAAACAAAAGAAAAGAGACACUGGGAGAAAGAAAAGGAUAUGUGAGAAUGAAAAUAGAGAGGGAAGAAGAGGAAAGGAAAGGGGUAGAAGAAACAGAAGGGAAUGCAUGAUUACAAAGAUUAGUUUCGGAGAAUUAGAUUUGGGAUUCAAAGGAACAUGUAUCUAUACAAUAGCUUGGAAUCCAGGUAGGGGGAUCUGGGGAACCUCUACUCAACUAUAUUUUAUGCAUAUAUGUUGCCUCACAUGUUUGUUAUGGAAUGAAUGAAUAUUUGAUGCAA